rnacentral:rRNA from 1 species
UGCGUAGGCGGGCUAAUAAGUCAGUGGUUAAAUCCUGCGGCUCAACCGUAGAACUGCCAUUGAUACUGAUAUUCUUGAAUGUAGUUGAGGUAGGCGGAAUGUGUAAUGUAGCGGUGAAAUGCUUAGAUAUUACACAGAACACCGAUUGCGAAGGCAGCUUACUAAACUAUGAUUGACGCUGAUGCACGAAAGCGUGGGGAGCGAACAGGAUUAGAUACCCUGGUAGUCC